AGCCCCGCCCCUCAUUUGAGCGGUCUUUCGUCAGACGGACAGGUGCGCAUGCUCCACAUUUCAAAUGUUGGCGGACUUUGUUGACUGCAACGUGGAUCACAAAGGUAAGUUUUUUAGUGAAACAAACUUUGUACGUUCCUGUUGGCUCACUUACUUAAGCUAGUCCUCGUUUAAAGCAGCGGCGCGAGCAAAUGUUGUUUUCUUGCUAGCUAGCUAGCUAAGUUUACGAGCUAGCUAACGUUGCUAUAUCACUGUUUGUCCGUUUUGCCUGGAAAUGCCCCAUUAUACUUGAAGGCGUGUUUUUACCCAAGCAAAUUGUGGUAAAGUUCAUGCUUGAAGGAGUGAAUUUCAUGAUACAUGUUUUAGAAAAGAAAAAAAAGAGUUGUGCUUCCCGUCAUGUUGUCUCCCCUCCCCCGCCGUUUUUGCUGAAGCAACUACUUUGGACAACUGCAGGACACCUGGCCAUACAGGUGCAAAACAUGAGAUGGAUGGAUGUGAAGAUGAUCUAAGAUUAUGAGCUCCAGUGUUUUUCCCCCCAUCUUGACUUUUCACACUGGGAAUAGUUCUGGUCCACCAGUUGCUGUCCCAUUGACAGCUCCUGCCUGGAGGGCUGGAGGGCUCUGCACCACUGUGUGCCCAGGCCAGGGUGGUGGGUGUUGACCCCUCUUGGUGUGGAUGGCCCCCCAAACAUGUCUUUGUCUCAGGGUCAGCCCCUGUGGACCAUGUUGUGUAACUUGACAUAAAAAAGUGUCAUAUAAAUAUUGUUUAAAUUACACUAAAGUUGAGUAUACCUUCCUUUUUUUAUAGUGUGUAGAGACUAAAUAAAUCCACACUGAAAAAAAUUUGGAGUGUCAUUUACUUAAAAAAAUGCUUGUAAAUUUAACUCGGGCUAUUUUUAAGUAAAUAUUUACAAGGCCAAAACAUCAUUUUUGUCAGUGCAUGUUUCAUCUUUUGUUGUUACACAUAGACAACAAGCAGGUUCAUUAAAAAACUCACAAAAUACAGGCUAUUUGUUUAGAACUAACGCAUAAAUACUUAUUGGCUGUUGUUUGAAGUACCGUAAUUCUAUUGAACUGUUAACCUUUUCAGAUAAUUUUCACCUUUUUUAAUGCGUGUCUGGAGCUCCUUUUUUUUUUAUUUGGUCAAAUUCUUAAGUAGCAAUGCGGCAUAGACUGUUAAUUUUACUACUUUCAAGUGAUUUUCUUCUUGAAAUUAAUGCUCUUUCCGAUGCACACGAAAAUCAGGAUCAAUUAUGUCUUAAUAAGUAAAGCUGUCUAAUAAAAGAGUGAUAAAAUAAUAACUACAAUCUUCAUCUAUUUUGUUUUGGGCCAAAAAGUGAUACCCAGAUUAAAAUGAUCAGCAAUCAGUUUAAUGUUCUUAAUCCUUUUGCUCCAGUAAGCUGUGAAGAUAACAAGGCCCAGUCUGACAUUUCCGGAAUAAAGCAGGAGAUUCCUGGGUGAGAUCCGCAGCUGCUUGUUAGUGUUGCCUGCCAGGAAUAAGUGAGCUGCAGAGGGUGAAACGGGCAGAAUGAAGCUGCACUAAUGAGCUUCAUUAUCAGUCCAUGAUUUUAAGAGGCUUUCUUAGGAGGUCCGCCGGGAAAAUGAAUUAGCAAAAUUCAGAUUAGAAACCUCGCUGCUUCGCUUCUGUACUCUUUGAUGCAUCCGAAUAUGGAGAAGCUAAAGAAUGUUAAAAAAAUAACUAUAAUAAAAAAGGGGAGAAGUAUCACAGUGGUUGAGGUUAAACCAUUCAGAGUUAUUUCCAUCAUUAGUGUCUCACAACACAAACAAGAUCAAAGCUAAUCGGAUGAGAAAAUGCUCGUUUUGAUCAAGUUUUUUCUGCCUUUGUCCCCACAAAGUGUCUGUGCUUAUGGAUGAGUCAUACUCCUGUUUCUUCUCUUCUCCCUCCUCUGCUGCCUUCGCCUAUAUGUACCCCUCCCUUAAAGACUGCCCCCCCCUCACCGUUUCACACCACAGCAGUAGGUACUGAGCUCCGGAUCAGUGCUGCAUUAUCUACAUUACAGUCCUGUGAUCUAAUUGUUUUUUUAAUGCGGAGACUUUCUGGAGAUGAGUCACCACUUGGCCAGAAUCUGCUCAGACAUCACCCAAAAAUCGAAAUAACAAGCAGCAAACUCAAAUGAACGAGCACAUGUGGGGCUGCUCGUUCCUCUAGAACUUUUAUUAUUUUCCUUUUAUCGUCCUUCAGAGGCUCCAUUCUCAGGGAAAUUGGUGGCUUUGAUUGAGCGCUGUUACAUUCAAUCAGAGCCCUAUUAAAAACAAAAUUCCAACAUUUACUGCGGUUCAACAAACAAACACCAAUCAGUUUAUGUAACUCGGAUAACCUGCCAGGAGGAAAUUGCUGUGUGGGAUGAAAAAAAGUCCAUGAUCACCACAGAAACCACACAGAAGUCAGCUUUAGUUUUAUGAUGAUUUUAACUUAAUUGAGGUGAUUUUUCUUUUGUCGCUCGGCCAGAUUCAGCGCCAAGUUUUCCCAUGAUGCAUCUGCCUCUAUCAUUUCAAAAAAAGGAGAGAUGUUAGGGAUGCGAGAAAAUAUUUGUGUUACAGAAAAAUGUGCACGAAUAAGUCUA